UCAGGGGCGUAGCUAGAAGAAAACGAUGUGCAAGCAACUACAAAAAUUUUUGGGACCCUUUAAUGCAGAAAAAUAUUUUUUUUCGGUUUUCGGUCAUAGGACGGUUUAAAGAGGAGCUACAUGUAGAUAGGACUUAUAAACAAUUGAUGAACGUAAAACUAUUAAUACUUGAAUCUUCUGAAUAGAGUAAAUCAUGGUCAAUUUAAUACAUAAACAACACAUUUUGAAUUACAGAAUUUACUCAACAUUGACCAAAAUCUGCUCUUCGGGUCUAAGCAGAAACGAACUUCUCUAUUACUUUAUCAACAUUCACACUGAAAUCCCGAUCAAUAUGCAGUAAUGCUAGCGAUGAUAACCUGUCGUUGUUCAUUGUUGAUCGUACAUUUGUUUUCAACAGACUUAAUACACUGAUAGAUCUGCAUGGUAGCACUCGCGAGAUGUUAUAAACCAGCGUACGUGUUCUCCAUCGAACGACCUCCCGAUUGAAAUUGUCCGCCAAAUACAUGCCAGGUCAUUUUGUAUGUCUCAGACAAUAUGGAGAAUUAUUCGUUGGUUAUAUUUCCUACAACACGAGGAAGCAGAUACGACACAAAGAAGCUAUUUUCUGAUAAUACCAGACACCCUCUACUCUCCAAUUCCAUUUAUCUAUAUGGUCUACGUGUGUGAACGCAAACUAUAAUGAGACUUUCCAAUGCUGUUUUGGCGUGUUUUCAGGGUGAUUGGCUUUGGUAGUCUGUCGAAUACAUCGCCUCGGCAUAUUUUCAAUAAUAUCAAAGAGGGGGGAUAUGAGGGGUCCUGAUCCCGAAAUCCCGAAAUCCCGGGCUUAAAAACACAAAAUCCCGAGGUCCCAAAAUUCGAAAAAAGAAUUACCGGAUCCCGAAAGGGUCAAUCCCGAAAUCCUGAGCUUAAAAACACCCGAUCCUGGAGUCCCGAUAAAGGUCCUAUCCCCCCUCAUCAAAAGGUUUCGAUAAAUCUAAUGGUCGAUUGGUACAUCGCAUCGCAAACAGAUAAGCCGUACUCUGUAAAAUGUGCUCCGAAACUACACGUCUUAGACUGAGUAUAAUAAAUUCAAAUCUGGUAAAAGAUACAAGUUACUGUCCGAUUUUUACAUGAUCUCCAAUAAAACGUUUAUUUUGAAAUGUCGUUAUUUAAUGACAGUUCAUCAAUUAAAUAAGUGACAACAUAUGUGUUUCCUUUAACCAUAAUUAAUUUAUAAAUUUUUAUUUUGGCAUUUUGUUUUGCUUGCCGAAUCGAUGUGCACGCAACUGCGUGUUAGCGUAUAGGGAGCUACGCGCC
rnacentral:lncRNA from 1 species